rnacentral:tRNA from 1 species
UGAAACGCAAUUCGCUGGCCUCUCACGCCGGAAACACGAGUUCGAGUCUCGUAGGGAGCACCA